rnacentral:tRNA from 1 species
UCCGGCGUAGCUCAGCUGGCAGAGCGGGUGACUGUUAAUCACUUGGUCGUUGGUUCAAGUCCAACCGCCGGAGCCA